UAUUAAAAAUUUCAUUCAUUUCUACUGUUAAAAAUUGCAAUGGCUGCCCAAAUAACCAAAUAGUGACACGUGGCAUGCUACGUGUACCUCAUGCUGACAUAUAGGGACCAAUUUUUAACAGUAUAAAUGGAUGAAAUUUUUAACA
rfam:Gossypium raimondii Chr01_contig_140, whole genome shotgun sequence.